UCAGUCUGUGAGAGUUUGGGGUCAGAUGCUGAGAUUUGGGGUCAGAUGCUGAGAUUUGGGGCGAUUGGGCUGAAUUUGGGGUCAGGUGCUGAGAUUUGGGGUCGGUUUGUGAGAGUUUGGGGUCAGGGCUGGAGAUUUGGGGUCAUUUCAUGAGAGUUUGGGGUCAGAUGCUGAGAUUUGGGGCUGAUUGGGCUGAAUUUGGGGUCAGUUCAUGAGAGUUUGGGGUCAGAUGCUGAGAUUUGGGGUCAGAUGCUGAGAUUUGGGGUCAUUUCAUGAGAGUUCGGGGUCAGAUGCUGAGAUUUGGGGUCAGAUGCUGAGAUUUGGGGCCGAUUGGGCUGAAUUUGGGGUCGGGAGCUGAGAUUUGGGGCCGAUUGGGCUGAAUUUGGGGUCGGGUGCUGAGAUUUGGGG
rnacentral:lncRNA from 1 species